GUAGCUCAACUGGUAGAGCAUUUGCCUAGCAUGCAUGAUGCCCUAGGCUCAAUCCCUAGC
rnacentral:tRNA from 1 species